AAGAGGGUGCAGCCGUGAGAAGGCGAGAUUUCGAUAUUUUAGUGACUUUUGACAUGCUACUUUUCACAUAAUCGAAGCUUAUUAAAUAAAGAAAUGUACAAUUAUGUAAACAUAAAGUCUUAUAGAAGUGUACUGCAAAGGAAAAUUUUGGUAUUUAAUAGUACAUCUUUGUUUAAUUUGUCAUUUCUUAAAAGCAAAAUUUCAAAAGCGCUCGUCAGAGCUCACUUUGAGAUAUGAAAUUACCAUUAAGCUAUGUAAAUACAUUUUUUUAAAUAUUUUCGUAGGACAGAAUAUAUAGUCUAUUGGUGAACCACAGCGGAAAAUAUUAAAAAUUAUAUAUUUUAAUAAUUACGCACCCAUUUUUAUAAAUGACUUAUUAUACGAUUUUGGAAACAGCUUUUUAUGAGAAAAGCCCGAUUUUAUUCGUUAAAACUAUUUUGUAUCGAUUAACUGAGGAUGAAUAAAUAAUAAAAGUAAAUUUACAUAAUUAUUAUACGACGAUAGUUAUUACAAACUAUUAUUGAAAAUGGCCUAUAUAAUUACGCGCACGGGCGAAUGUGAUUUAGUACGCGCCGGGUCAUCCCAGAGGGUGGACGUAUCGCUCAUUUCCCGCGCGUCUAAAAGUUGAUUGACCUUACGUACGACCGAGGUUCAAAAGGAGUAUAGUGCGUCAUUGGAUUUGAUACUUUAGCAUGGGUAACAAACGCAAAAAAUAUAGUUGCAGUAGAAAUGCGAAGUCUGCAGCGAACGCCUGGCAAUCAAAAAGGAGAAAGAUUAACGAGGAAAAAAACCAACGUACUCAUGAAUCUCCUGACAAUAACGACUCCUGUGUUGAUUCAAAAAAUAAUAAUCGUGACAAUGUAAGUAUUUACUAUCAGCUAGUAUAAUUAGCUAUUCAUACUUAAAUUUAAAUCAGUAUAUAUUUAGCAGUCAUCUGGGUAAAUUAAUCAGUAAAUUAGAGGCUUUUACUAAACCCCGGUUUCCAAUUAAAUCAUUGUCUAAUAACCAGCCAAGUAAUUGAGCGCAAUAUUAAACCAGAUGGCUGAAUGUCGUGUAGUCAUUUAUAUUAAAUCAGAUACCUAUUUAUGGAUUUGUGAUGUUUGGGUAAGGUGACCAAGUAAGUUGUACGCAAUGUAACUUGGAGGUAUCUCCAAGUUUUUUCCUACUAUUUUAUUAUUAUUUAAAAUAAAAUGUUAAUCCAGUUCUUUAUUUUUUUUAAUAGGAAUUAUUUGAUGCACUCAUAUCGGAUCUGGAAAAAAUAGAUGAGAAAAAACAAAAUAUACAUUUAGAAGAAACGGCAAAUAUUGAAGAGUUUGAAUUGGUAUAUAACGUUGGUCACUAUAUCACGUAGUCACGCUAUCUGCCAUGCGUAAUUCAAUUAUUAAUCUUGAUUACUGAUUUCAGGAAGUGGAGCCACAAAAACAUAUCAUUCCUCCAUAUCAAAUUAUAGGAAGAAGGAUUGUUGAUUUCAUGUAUUUCUUUGAUCAAAUCAAAAUCGUAGCUAACCAUAAUCCUGGACUCGGUUGUUCAAUAAGUAAUGUUGAAAUUGUCAAAGAAAUACUUAAUGGCUUAGAAUCGACAAUCCACUUCAAAUGUACAAUGUGUAACAAGAAAUUUAAUGUCACACUAUGCAAUAAUAAUUUUCCAAAAGAGAUGACCACAAACCAUGCUGCAGUGACUGUUUGUAAAUAAUAAAAUCUAAAAAUGUAA